GACGAACGCUGGCGGCGUGCUUAACACAUGCAAGUCGAACGGAAAGGCCCUGCUUUUGUGGGGUGCUCGAGUGGCGAACGGGUGAGUAACACGUGAGUAACCUGCCCUUGACUUUGGGAUAACUUCAGGAAACUGGGGCUAAUACCGGAUAGGAGCUCCUGCUGCAUGGUGGGGGUUGGAAAGUUUCGGCGGUUGGGGAUGGACUGGCGGCUUAUCAGCUUGUUGGUGGGGUAGUGGCUUACCAAGGCUUUGACGGGUAGCCGGCCUGAGAGGGUGACCGGCCACAGUGGGACUGAGAUACGGCCCAGACUCCUACGGGAGGCAGCAGUGGGGAAUAUUGCACAAUGGGCGGAAGCCUGAUGCAGCAACGCCGCGUGCGGGAUGACGGCCUUCGGGUUGUAAACCGCUUUCGCCUGUGACGAAGCGUGAGUGACGGUAAUGGGUAAAGAAGCACCGGCUAACUACGUG
rnacentral:rRNA from 1 species